rnacentral:rRNA from 1 species
AGCGAACGCUGGCGGCAGGCCUAAUACAUGCAAGUCGAACGGCUCUUCGGAGCAGUGGCGGACGGGUGAGUAACGCGUGGGAAUGUGCCCUUUGGUACGGAACAACACAGGGAAACUUGUGCUAAUACCGUAUGUGCCCUUCGGGGGAAAGAUUUAUCGCCAUUGGAGCAGCCCGCGUUGGAUUAGGUAGUUGGUGAGGUAAAGGCUCACCAAGCCUACGAUCCAUAGCUGGUCUGAGAGGAUGACCAGCCACACUGGGACUGAGACACGGCCCAGACUCCUACGGGAGGCAGCAGUAGGGAAUCUUGCGCAAUGGGCGAAAGCCUGACGCAGCCAUGCCGCGUGUAUGAUGAAGGUCUUAGGAUUGUAAAAUACUUCACCGGGAAGGAUAAUGACGGUACCCGGA